CAGUAGCCGCGGGAAAACAGAGGGUGCGAGCGUUAAUCGGAUUUACUGGGCGUAAAGCGUGCGUAGGCGGCUUCUUAAGUCGGAUGUGAAAUCCCUGAGCUUAACUUAGGAAUUGCAUUCGAUACUGGGAAGCUAGAGUAUGGGAGAGGAUGGUAGAAUUCCAGGUGUAGCGGUGAAAUGCGUAGAGAUCUGGAGGAAUACCGAUGGCGAAGGCAGCCAUCUGGCCUAAUACUGACGCUGAGGUACGAAAGCAUGGGGAGCAAACAGGAUUAGAUACCCCCGUAGUCCCUGUCUCUUAUAA
rnacentral:rRNA from 1 species